UACAGAGGGUGCGAGCGUUGUCCGGAAUCACUGGGCGUAAAGGGCGCGUAGGCGGCUCAGUAAGGUUGCGGUGAAAGCCCGGGGCUCAACCCCGGGUCGGCCGUGGCAACUGCUGGGCUGGAGCACUGUAGAGGCAGGUGGAAUUCCGGGUGUAGCGGUGGAAUGCGUAGAGAUCCGGAAGAACACCGGUGGCGAAGGCGGCCUGCUGGGCAGUAGCUGACGCUGAUGCGCGACAGCGUGGGGACGCAAACAGG
rnacentral:rRNA from 1 species